UACGGGGGGAGCAAGCGUUGUUCGGAUUUACUGGGCGUAAAGGGCGCGUAGGCGGCGCAACAAGUCACUUGUGAAAUCUCCGGGCUUAACCCGGAGCGGCCAAGUGAUACUGUCGUGCUAGAGUGCGGAAGGGGCUACUGGAAUUCUCGGUGUAGCGGUGAAAUGCGUAGAUAUCGGGAGGAACACCUGUGGCGAAAGCGGCGCACUGGACCACAACUGACGCUGAGGCGCGAAAGCUAGGGGAGCAAACAGG
rnacentral:rRNA from 1 species